rnacentral:rRNA from 1 species
AAUCGAACCCGGAGAUAGCUGGUUCUCCCCGAAAUAGCUUUAGGGCUAGCGUCGGAAAGAACCUUAGUGAAGGUAGAGCACUGAAUGUGUGAUGGCCCCAUCCCGGGGUACUGAAUACAAUCAAACUGCGAAUGUCAUUAAGGAUGUCCGGCAGUCAGACUGUGAGUGAUAAGGUCCAUGGUCAAGAGGGAAACAGCCCAGACCGCCAGUUAAGGUCCCAAAAUACAGGCUAAGUGGAAAAGGAUGUGGGGAUGCCCAGACAACUAGGAGGUUGGCUCAGAAGCAGCCAUCCUUUAAAGAGUGCGUAACAGCUCACUAGUCGAGUGACCCUGCGCCGAAAAUGUACCGGGGCUAAGCCUGAUACCGAAACUGCGGAUUGUAGGAAACUAUAGUGGUAGGGGAGCGUUGUAUACGAGUAGAAGCCGUACCGUGAGGAGCGGUGGAUUGUAUAGAAGUGAGAAUGCCGGUGUGAGUAGCGAGAUGUAGGUGAGAAUCCUACACACCGAAAGCCCAAGGAUUCCAGGGGAAGGUUCGUCCGCCCUGGGUAAGUCGGGACCUAACGCGAGGCCGAAAGGCGUAGUGGAUGGAAAGCAGGCGAAAGAUUCCUGCACCCGUAUAUGGAGCGAAGGAGUGACGGAGACGGAUAGUGUGACCCUCUUAAUGGAUUGAGGGCGAAGCGAAGCGGCUGGUUACCAGGCAAAUCCGGUAACCAUAAGGCUAGAGCGUGAUAGGUAAGCGAAAUCUUAGGAAAGUAGCGAAGCACAUGAUGACGGCUUCCAGGAAAAGCUUCUGGCAAUGCAUAUGCGGCCCGUACCAAAACCGACACAGGUGGGCAGGGAGAGAAUCCCGAGGUGAGCGAGAGAACUGUUGCCAAGGAACUCGGCAAAAUGACUCCGUAAGUUAGCGAGAAGGAGUGCUUAAGCAAUUAAGCCGCAGUGAAGAGGCCCAAGCGACUGUUUAACUAAAACACAGCUCUCUGCGAAGUCGCAAGACGAAGUAUAGGGGGUGACACCUGCCCGGUGCUGGAAGGUUAAGAGGAUCUGUUAAGAGUGAUCUGAAGCAGUGAUCCGAAGCCCCAGUGAACGGCGGCCGUAACUAUAACGGUCCUAAGGUAGCGAAAUUCCUUGUCAGGUAAGUUCUGACCCGCACGAAAGGUGUAACGAUUUGGGCGCUGUCUCGGCAGCAGACUCGGUGAAAUCUUAGUACCUGUGAAAAUGCAGGUUACCCGCAACUAGACGGAAAGACCCCAUGGAGCUUUACUGCAGCCUGAUAUUGAAUUCUGGUCAUACAUGUACAGGAUAGGUGGGAGACAAAGAGACGUGCACGCCAGUGUACGAGGAGUCGACGUUGGGAUACCACUCUUGUGUGACCGGGGUUCUAACCUGGUAUCGAGAACAGGUACGGGGAGAGUGUCAGGUGGGCAGUUUGACUGGGGCGGUCGCCUCCCAAAGAGUAACGGAGGCGCCCAAAGGUACGCUCAGAUUGGAUGGAAACCAAUCGACGAGUGCAAUUGCAGAAGCGUGCUUGACUGUGAGACUUACAAGUCGAACAGGGACGAAAGUCGGGAAUAGUGAUCCGGCGGUGCCGAAUGGAAGGGCCGUCGCUCAACGGAUAAAAGCUACCCUGGGGAUAACAGGCUGAUCUCCCCCAAGAGUUCACAUCGACGGGGAGGUUUGGCACCUCGAUGUCGGCUCAUCGCAUCCUGGGGCUGAAGUAGGUCCCAAGGGUUGGGCUGUUCGCCCAUUAAAGCGGUACGCGAGCUGGGUUCAGAACGUCGUGAGACAGUUCGGUCCCUAUCUGUUGUGGGCGAAGGAGAUCUGCGGAGAGCUGUCCUCAGUACGAGAGGACCGGGAUGGACCUACCGCUGGUGCACCGGUUGUUCCGCCAGGGGCAUAGCCGGGUAGCUAAGUAGGGAAAGGAUAAGCGCUGAAAGCAUCUAAGCACGAAGCCUACUCCAAGAUGAGAUCUCCCAUUCG